AUCCAACUGACGAGUCCCCAAAAGGACGAAACGCGCUUCAAACUUGAU
rnacentral:hammerhead_ribozyme from 1 species